rnacentral:lncRNA from 1 species
UGUGCACGACUUCACGUGGUUCUGUGGUGGAGUUGUGGUGGCUGUGUUUACGGCACGUGGUGAGCGAGCAGGUAUACAAAUUCACUUCCCUGCCGCUGUCGCUUACGAGCACCUUCAAAGCUUCUGCUGAUCUGAGUUGUGCCCGUCAAGAUAUAGGCCAUCUCUGCACCUUUGACAACAAUUAGCCGCAAGUGCUGAUUGCUGCUGGUUGGCUCAGUCCAGAAACAGGCCUCACAAAUGCGAUGAGCCUAGCUGAAAGCAUCACUGCCAAAAGGGUACGCCACGCCCCUUCAAUGGUUGUUGGUCAGGUAGAGGUUGGCAUGCAGCACAGCUUGCCUCUGGCUGACAAAUCUGUUGGCUGUUCGUUGAAACCAGGGAGCGAGUCUAGGAGCGUGCAGACUACGGAGGCUGUGGAACAGUUAAGCUCCACCUCAGCAUCGAGGCCUUUAAUUUCUGCAUCAACUGCCAAAUGUGACAACUCAAAGCAAGGAUGCUUCCACCGAUGUCAGCUAUGUGACUAUGAGACUGAUGAACUAUUUCUUCUGGAAGAACAUGCCAGCGACCAUACUGGCGAGAAACUGUUUCAUUGCCCUUUAUGCCCUCAGAGCUUUCCACAGAAGCAGAGACUGAGAACCCACCUGCUCACCCACACAAUCAAGACGCC